rnacentral:lncRNA from 1 species
UUGGAGGAUAGGCCUUUGUUAUGAAGGAUACUUGGUUUAUUUUAAAAUGGUUGUAUUUUCCCUCUUCCUACAGGAAACAGGAGGGAAUUUUUCUCUGACCUUCAUUCUGAGAACCUGGAGAGAGGGGUGGUACCUGGAGGUAAAACCCAUGAAAACAUAGGCCUUCCCCCAAGAUUGGUCCCCCAGGAGUUUUCAACUCUCAAGCUAAUCCACACUCAGCCUCAAGCAAUUCAUCAAAACCACCGUUUAAAUAUUCCUACCAAUAAUUGUCUUCAGUGGCUUCUGCCUCAGGUAAUCUGAUCUCUGCUUUGAUUAUCUAUAUUCACCUGUCUCUCCACAUUUUGGGCUGGCAGUUUGCCCUGUGACCUCAGUUCUCUGGGUCUAAGAAAAGUCAUUGCUUUUGUUUGCUCAAUGUUCUUGUUGUAAUGCUGGGAAAGCUCUCUAUACUUCAGAGCUUAAUAGUAAACAUUUGUGUUGGAAUUUCUCUUAUACCUUGGGGUACAGUGUCAGGACUUGUGUUCAUAACCCAAACAGCACCAAUAAGCCUGCACAACUGGAAGUAUUACUUCUCAAGGAGUCUGGAAGUAACCAGCUGCUGGUGGUAUUGGUUCAGCAGCUCAAUGAUAUCACAUUUGCAAGAUGACUGGCCAGCUUUAGCCAUCCAUCCUUGUCCGAGGCAGGAAAAAUGAGGUAAGGAAUAUGUGUGACCUCUGUUCCUUAAGAAAACAUAGCAUUUUCUAGAAAAGCCCCUCUCCUCCAGCAGAUACUUGCUUGCAAGAUUGUGUCACAUUACCACCCCUAGGUACCUGUGACCCUAGUUGCCUGCUACACAGGCAACAGAGAAGGGGGUGGGGAAUGCCUAUUGAGUUGGACAAUCAACAGUACAUGGUCCUUUGCCUAUUUAUCUUUUAGAAUGUUUGUCUUUUUCUUAUUGAUUUGUAACAUUUCUUUGUUGCCUUUUUUCUAUGUGUCGCAUUUGUUUGGCAAAUAGAUUUUUCCAGUUUUUUGUUUGCAGUUUAAUUUUGUUUCAACAUACGUAAGACUGCCAUUUCGUAAUUGUUAGAUCUAUACAUCUUUCAGUUUAUGGCUUCUUCUUUGUUCUUGUGCUGACAAAAGCCUGGUCCCUUCUGUGAAAACAUGAAUACUCUUUCAUAUUUUCUUCUUGAUCUUUCAUGGUUUCACUUCAAUUUUAAAAAGGAACAAUGGUAUCCUGUUUGACUUCUUAUCCGAGAUGGGGGAAGGAGUGAUUCAGGGAUGUGGGUGCAAAGGAACAGAGGAAACAAAUUUAAUCUACUGCCACUUGAAUGUGGGAAAAACAACCCAUUCCUGCCAACUAUGCAAGAAAGUAUCCUGUGUUAAAAUAUUUAGUGGUGGGCAGUGGUGGCAGCUGGAUAAGGUGGACUCUUUUGGGGGUUUGUUUAAAGGCAAGAAAUGUUUUAUGGCAAACAAACUUCAAAUGCUGACUGGGGAGAAACUGUAACAAAUAAAGACUCUGGUUGCAUUUCA